rnacentral:rRNA from 1 species
UGACCUCAAAUCAGGUAGGACUACCCGCUGAACUUAAGCAUAUCAAUAAGCGGAGGAAAAGAAACUAACAAGGAUUCCCCUAGUAACUGCGAGUGAAGCGGGAAAAGCUCAAAUUUAAAAUCUGGCAGUCUUUGGCUGUCCGAGUUGUAAUCUAGAGAAGUGUUAUCCGCGCUGGACCGUGUACAAGUCUCCUGGAAUGGAGCGUCAUAGAGGGUGAGAAUCCCGUCUUUGACACGGACUGCCAGGGCUUUGUGAUGCGCUCUCAAAGAGUCGAGUUGUUUGGGAAUGCAGCUCAAAAUGGGUGGUAAAUUCCAUCUAAAGCUAAAUAUUGGCGAGAGACCGAUAGCGAACAAGUACCGUGAGGGAAAGAUGAAAAGAACUUUGGAAAGAGAGUUAAACAGUACGUGAAAUUGCUGAAAGGGAAACGCUUGAAGUCAGUCGCAUUGUGUGGGAAUCAACCUUGCUUUUGCUGGGCGUAUUUUCCAUAUGAUGGGUCAGCAUCAAUUUCGACCGUUGGAUAAAGUUCAAGGGAAUGUGGCAUCUUCGGAUGUGUUAUAGCCCUUGGUUGUAUACAACGAUUGGGAUUGAGGAACUCANCACGCCGAAAGGCCGGGUCUCGUACC